UACGGAGGAUGCGAGCGUUAUCCGGAUUUAUUGGGUUUAAAGGGUGCGCAGGCGGCGCGUUAAGUCAGCGGUGAAAUGUCCCGGCUCAACCGGGGAGCUGCCGUUGAUACUGGCGUGCUGGAGUGCGGACGGCGCCGGCGGAAUGAGUGGUGUAGCGGUGAAAUGCAUAGAUAUCACUCAGAACACCGAUCGCGAAGGCAGCUGGCGAGGCCGCAACUGACGCUGAGGCACGAAAGCGUGGGGAU
rnacentral:rRNA from 1 species